UGGGCUUCAACUUUCAAUGUAACAAAAAAAAAAAAAAGGUCAUUUGGAUUCAAAUAGGAGAUCACAAUUUUGCAAGUCUAAGGCGACUAGACCAUGUUGGCAUUUGACCCAUCAACUUAAUACAAGUCCAAAACUGUAAUGUGGCCUUACAAUUAUCAAUUAAAGUUGAGAACUUUUUUUUGCUAAUUGGGAAAUAAGUUGCUUUUUCC
rnacentral:lncRNA from 1 species